rnacentral:misc_RNA from 1 species
GAAAAGAAACCAGAGAUGGCAAACAAGAACCCAAAGAAGGCCAAUCUUUUAGAUCACCACUCUAUCAAGCACAUUCUUGACGAGUCCGUCUCUGAGAUUGUUACCAGUCGCGGAUAUGUGGAAGAUUUUAGGAUGAGCAAUAUAAGAUUGUUGAUGGGGACCAUUAUCAUAGUUAUCGCGCUUAUUGCUCAGUUUUACAAGAAGAAGUUCCCUGAGAACAGGGACUUUUUGAUCGCUUGUAUUGUAUUGUAUGUAGUCUUCAAUGGAUUGUUGCAGCUGAUUAUAUACACAAAAGAGAAGAACGCGAUCCUUUUCACUUAUCCUCCUAAGGGAUCUUACACCAGCACUGGUUUGGUGGUCUCUUCCAAAUUGCCUAGAUUUUCUGAUGACUACACACUUAGCAUAGCAAGUGCAGAUCCCAAAUCAAUUUCUGCAGGGAAACCAGUGCAGUUUACCAGGAGCGUCACCCAAUGGUUCACCAAGGAUGGAGUUUUAGCGGAAGGGUUGUUCUGGGNNNGAACGAUGUUGAAGCUCUAAUAGAUGAUUAUGCAGGAGAACCAAAGAAGAACAAAUAAGCCCCUCUUCCAACAAUAUUUGAUAGGUCAAUGGUUAGACAGAUACGCCAACAAUAUUGUGAUUUGAUAUGGAUGUUCAUUGAAAUUAUGGUGAUUGCCCUGAAAAUUUUUGAG